rnacentral:rRNA from 1 species
CAGGGAUUGCCUCAGUAACUGCGAGUGAAGCGGCAAAAGCUCAAAUUUGAAAUCUGGCGUCUUUGGCGUCCGAGUUGUAAUUUGGAGAGGCAUCUUCGGAGAUGGCGCUGUCCUAAGUUCCUUGGAACAGGACAUCACAGAGGGUGAGAAUCCCGUGCCUGGAUGGCUGUCCAUCUCCAUGUGAAGAGUCUUCGACGAGUCGAGUUGUUUGGGAAUGCAGCUCAAAAUGGGUGGUAAAUUUCAUCUAAAGCUAAAUAUUGGCGAGAGACCGAUAGCGCACAAGUAGAGUGAUCGAAAGAUGAAAAGCACUUUGAAAAGAGAGUUAAAAAGUACGUGAAAUUGUUGAAAGGGAAGCGCUUGAGACCAGACUCAAUCUUUGGUGAUCAGCUGUGCUUCUGCGCAGUGCACUUGCUAUUGAUUGGGCCAGCAUCGGUUCCGACGGUGGGAUAAAAGGCGGAGGAAUGUAGCUUCCUUCGGGGAGUGUUAUAGCCUCCGUCACAAUGCCAUCAGUUGGGACCGAGGACCGCGCUUCGGCUAGGAUGCUGGCGUAAUGGUCUUAAGCGACCCGUCUUGAAACACGGACCAAGGAGUCUAACAUCUAUGCGAGUGUUCGGGUGGAAAACCCUUGCGCGUAAUGAAAGUGAACGGAGGUGGGAACCCGCAAGGGUGCACCAUCGACCGAUCCUGAUGUCUUCGGAAGGAUUUGAGUAAGAGCAUAGCUGUUGGGACCCGAAAGAUGGUGAACUAUGCCUGAAUAGGGUGAAGCCAGAGGAAACUCUGGUGGAGGCUCGCAGCGGUUCUGACGUGCAAAUCGAUCGUCAAAUUUGGGUAUAGGGGC